rnacentral:rRNA from 1 species
AACUGAAGAGUUUGAUCAUGGCUCAGAUUGAACGCUGGCGGCAGGCUUAACACAUGCAAGUCGAGCGGGGGAAGGUAGCUUGCUACUGGACCUAGCGGCGGACGGGUGAGUAAUGCUUAGGAAUCUGCCUAUUAGUGGGGGACAACAUCUCGAAAGGGAUGCUAAUACCGCAUACGUCCUACGGGAGAAAGC